CAGAAAGAAAGGUCUUAGAGGAAUCUGAACAGCUCUUGGAACAGGAAGAGGGAAGAGAUCAAGAGUGGGGAAGAUGUGCCCCAGGUGAAAUGAACUGGGUUAGAAGUGAGCAGAAGAGUGAAGAAGAGAGGAGCUCCCUCAAUGUCUACCCCUAAAUCUUGUGUCUCUCAGUUAAAAGUCAUCUACUUCAAUAUUUCAGAAAUUAACAAGCUAAUAGAAAUGUAAGAACCACGAAUAUCCAAGACAGGGUCUAAUUCACCAAGUUGCCCAGAUUGAGUUCAAACUUGUUAUAUCUUCUACUUCAGCCUCCCCAUGUACUGAGAA